rnacentral:rRNA from 1 species
UUGUCCUGUGACUGCGUACCUUUUGUAUAAUGGGUCAGCGACUUAUAUUCAGUGGCAAGGUUAACCAUCUAGGGGAGCCGUAGGGAAACCGAGUCUUAACUGGGCGUUCAGUCUCUGGAUAUAGACCCGAAACCAGGUGAUCUAGCCAUGGGCAGGUUGAAGGUUGAGUAACAUCAACUGGAGGACCGAACCGACUAAUGUUGAAAAAUUAGCGGAUGACUUGUGGCUAGGGGUGAAAGGCCAAUCAAACCUGGAGAUAGCUGGUUCUCCCCGAAAGCUAUUUAGGUAGCGCCUCGGACGAAUACUACUGGGGGUAGAGCACUGUUAAGGCUAGGGGGUCAUCCCGACUUACCAACCCUUUGCAAACUCCGAAUACCAGUAAGUACUAUCCGGGAGACACACGGCGGGUGCUAACGUCCGUCGUGGAGAGGGAAACAACCCAGACCGCCAGCUAAGGUCCCAAAUUACUACUAAGUGGGAAACGAUGUGGGAAGGCUCAGACAGCCAGGAUGUUGGCUUAGAAGCAGCCAUCAUUUAAAGAAAGCGUAAUAGCUCACUGGUCGAGUCGGCCUGCGCGGAAGAUGUAACGGGGCUAAGUAGUAAACCGAAGCUGCGGCAAUAUACUUUUGUAUAUUGGGUAGGGGAGCGUUCUGUAAGCGGUUGAAGGUGUGUGGUAACGCAUGCUGGACGUAUCAGAAGUGCGAAUGCUGACAUGAGUAACGAUAAAGGGGGUGAAAAACCUCCUCGCCGGAAGACCAAGGGUUCCUGUCCAACGUUAAUCGGGGCAGGGUAAGUCGACCCCUAAGGCGAGGCCGAAAGGCGUAGUCGAUGGGAAACGGGUUAAUAUUCCCGUACUUCUUACAAUUGCGAUGGGGGGACGGAGAAGGCUAGGUGGGCCUGGCGACGGUUGUCCAGGUUCAAGUGCGUAGGCUUAAGAGUUAGGUAAAUCCGGCUCUUUUUAAGGCUGAGACACGACGUCGAGCACCUACGGGUGUGAAGUCAUUGAUGCCAUGCUUCCAGGAAAAGCCUCUAAGCUUCAGAUUGUAAGGAAUCGUACCCCAAACCGACACAGGUGGUCGGGUAGAGAAUACCAAGGCGCUUGAGAGAACUCGGGUGAAGGAACUAGGCAAAAUGGUACCGUAACUUCGGGAGAAGGUACGCUCUCGACGGUGAAGUCCCUUGCGGAUGGAGCUAUUGAGAGUCGCAGAUACCAGGUGGCUGCAACUGUUUAUUAAAAACACAGCACUGUGCAAAAUCGUAAGAUGACGUAUACGGUGUGACGCCUGCCCGGUGCCGGAAGGUUAAUUGAUGGGGUUAGACUUCGGUCGAAGCUCUUGAUCGAAGCCCCGGUAAACGGCGGCCGUAACUAUAACGGUCCUAAGGUAGCGAAAUUCCUUGUCGGGUAAGUUCCGACCUGCACGAAUGGCGUAAUGAUGGCCACGCUGUCUCCACCCGAGACUCAGUGAAAUUGAAAUCGCUGUGAAGAUGCAGUGUACCCGCGGCUAGACGGAAAGACCCCGUGAACCUUUACUACAGCUUGGCACUGAACAUUGACCC